UACGUAGGGCGCAAGCGUUGUCCGGAAUUAUUGGGCGUAAAGAGCUCGUAGGCGGCUUGGUAAGUCGGAUGUGAAACCUCCAGGCUCAACCUGGAGUCGCCAUCCGAUACUGCCAUGGCUAGAGUCCGGUAGGGGCCCACGGAAUUCCUGGUGUAGCGGUGAAAUGCGCAGAUAUCAGGAGGAACACCGAUGGCGAAGGCAGUGGGCUGGGCCGGCACUGACGCUGAGGAGCGAAAGCGUGGGGAGCGAACAGG
rnacentral:rRNA from 1 species